rnacentral:rRNA from 1 species
AUGCCUGAUCUGGAAGCAGUUUACAAGAUGGUUGAGGACAAAUACCACUGCUCGGACAAGCUUCUUCCUCCUGAUUUCUCCAUUCCUGGCCUCAUGGCCGAGAUAUGCCAGAGUGUCGUGCAGCUGGGCACUCAACAUACUGUGGAGCAUAUUACACAAUCACGUACCGUUGGUAACGGCAGCACGUCUAAAUGCGUGGAGGGUGGUUCAGCGAGUUCAACUACUGCCCCGCAACCGCAUUCGGCACUUUCAAGGACUACCCAUGAUGUACAUGACAUAUCCAAGGGACAAGAAAAUGUCAAGAUACCGAUAGCAAAUGAGUCUGGCAGAGGAAAAUGCCCACCAUCGUUUUCCUACGUACCAGGCAACGAGGUAUUUCAAAAUGGUAUUGUGAACAUCUCCCUUGCACAGAUUGGUGCUGAAGACUGUUGUGCUGAUUGCUUUGGCGACUGCUUGUCUGCGCCUGUACCAUGCGCUUGUGCAAGAGUCACCGGGGGUGAAUAUGCAUACACACCGGGCGGUUUGGUAAAGCCAGAUUUCAUUGACAAGUGUGUCUCCAUGAACCGGGUUCCCGAAGCACAUCACAAGGUCUUUUGCAAGACGUGCCCGCUCGAGAGGUCGAGAGAUAAAGCCUCACCAGAGCCUUGCAGGGGCCACCUUGUUCGGAAAUUCAUCAAGGAGUGCUGGAGCAAAUGCAGGUGCAGCACGCGGUGCGGCAACCGUGUGGUCCAACGCGGCAUAAGAUUCAACCUUGAGGUGUUUUCCACGGGAAAUGGGAGGGGUUGGGGGCUGCGCACGCAGAAUGCAUUGCCAAAAGGAGCUUUUGUGUGCGAAUAUGCGGGGGAAAUACUAACAUGCGCAGAAGUACAGGAGCGGGCGGUCGAGAACAUGAAGAAUGCUAGGUAUACACAUGCGGUAGUGUUGGAUGCUGGCUGGUCUUCGGGAGGGUCGCUGAAGGACGAAGAGGCCUUGUGCCUAGAUGGAACCUUUUAUGGGAAUGUUGGCAGAUUCAUCAACCACAGAUGCCGUGACUCAAAUCUGGCCAUGGUUCCUGUUCAAGUGGAGACUCCUGAUCGGCACUAUUACCAUGUUGCAUUCUUCACUAGCAGGAAGGUGGAGGCCCUAGAGGAACUGACAUGGGUAUGUAUGUAUGUAUGUAUGCACAGUUUGUUCUUGUUAAUAGUACUUAGUAAUGAAGCAAAGCAUAAGCAUUGUUUGUUGGUGAGACCAAGGAAGGUGUGUACGCGUCUGUAA